rnacentral:misc_RNA from 1 species
CGGUUCGAGUCCGCUUACCUCCACUGAUCAACUACCUGAUAACUCACUAUGGAGAUUGUCAUUUGUUUAAUGUGAUUUAGAUGUUGUUCAUCUGAAUGAACCUAGCUUCCUAUCAAUCGUUAAUAAUUUUAUUGGCUGAUAAGACGCUGGGCUCACUGAUAUUCAAUCGAGUAUCAGUUUGAUUCAGCA